GAUGAACGCUGGCGGUAUGCUUAACACAUGCAAGUCGAACGCAGACUUUCGGCUCUGGGUGGCGGCCGGGUGAGUAACGCGUGAGAAUCUGGCUUCAGGUUCUGGACAACCACGUGAAAUGGUUGCUAAUAACCAAUGCGCCGAUCAGGUGAAAGCUUAAUUGCCUGGAGAUGAGCUCGCGUCUGAUUAGCUAGUUGGUGGGGUUAGAGCACAACAAGGCGACGAGCAGUAGCUGGUCUGAGCGGACGAUCAGCCACAGUGGGACUGAGACACGGCACAGACUCCUACGGGGGGCAGGUGGGGGUAAUUGUCCGCAAUGGGCGAAAGUGUGACGGAGCAAUACCGCGUGAGGGAAGAAGGCUCUUGGGUUGUAAACCUCUUUCCUCAGGGAAGAAGGCAAUGACGGUACCUGAGGAAUCAGCAUCGGCUAACUACGUG
rnacentral:rRNA from 1 species